GAUGAAGAACGUAGCGAAAUGCGAUACUUGGUAUGAAUUGCAGAAUCCCGUGAACCAUCGAGUCUUUGAACGCAAGUUGCGCCCGAAGCCAUUAGGCCGAGGGCACGCCUGCCUGGGUGUCACACGUCGUUGCCCCCCCAUCUACUCCUUCGGGAUUGCGGGGGGCGGAUGAUGGCCUCCCGUGCGCCUCGUCGCGCGGUUGGCAUAAAUGCCAAGUCCUCGGCGACGCACGCCACGACAAUCGGUGGUUGCGAAACCUCGGUUGCCCGUCGUGUGCGGUCGUCGCGCAUCGAGGGCUCGAAAAAAUUGCCGGGCUCCGGCUCGGCUUUCAACGCGACCCCAGGUCAGGCGGGGUUACCCGCUGAAUUUAAGCAUAUCAAUAAGCGGAGGA
rnacentral:misc_RNA from 1 species